rnacentral:rRNA from 1 species
CCCUUUACGGGUUGUGAGAGCAAGAGCCCGGAGAUGGAUUCUGAGACACGAAUCCAGGCCCUACGGGGCGCAGCAGGCGCGAAAACUUUACAAUGCGAGAAAUCGUGAUAAGGGAACCCCGAGUGCCCGUAAAUUCGGGCUGUCCGCCAGUGCAAAAAACUGGUGAAGAAAGAGCCGGGCAAGACCGGUGCCAGCCGCCGCGGUAAUACCGGCGGCUCGAGUGGUGGCCACUAUUACUGGGCUUAAAGCGUCCGUAGCUUGGUUGUUAAGUCUCCUGGGAAAUCCAUCGGCUCAACCGAUGGGCGUUCAGGAGAUACUGGCAACCUAGGGACCGGGAGAGGUGAGAGGUACUCCAGGGGUAGGAGUGAAAUCCUGUAAUCCUUGGGGGACCACCUGUGGCGAAGGCGUCUCACUAGAACGGCUCCGACAGUGAGGGACGAAAGCUGGGGGAGCAAACCGGAUUAGAUACCCGGGUAGUCCCAGCUGUAAACGAUGCGCGUUAGGUGUAUCGGUGACCACGAGUCACCGAGGUGCCGAAGGGAAACCGUGAAACGUGCCGCCUGGGAAGUACGGUCGCAAGGCUGAAACUUAAAGGAAUUGGCGGGGGAGAAGGGCGAAUCGU